rnacentral:rRNA from 1 species
AACGUAGGGGGCGAGCGUUGUCUGGAAUUACUGGGCGUAAAGGGCGUGUAGGCGGUCAUUUAAGUCAGAGGUGAAAACUACCGGCUUAACCGGUAGCCUGCCUUUGAAACUGGGUGACUUGAGGGCAGGAGAGGGGAGUGGAAUUCCCAGUGUAGCGGUGAAAUGCGUAGAUAUUAGGAGGAACACCAGUUGCGAAGGCGGCUCUCUGGACUGUAACUGACACUGAGGCACGAAAGCGUGGGGAGCAAACAGGAUUAGAUACCCCCCGUAGUCCCUGAGCGGGCUGG